rnacentral:rRNA from 1 species
UACAGAGGUGGCAAGCGUUGUUCGGAAUUACUGGGCGUAAAGGGCGCGUAGGCGGCUUGUCACGUCGGGUGUGAAAGCCCGGGGCUUAACCCCGGGUCUGCAUUCGAUACGGGCAGGCUAGAGUGUGGUAGGGGAGAUCGGAAUUCCUGGUGUAGCGGUGAAAUGCGCAGAUAUCAGGAGGAACACCGGUGGCGAAGGCGGAUCUCUGGGCCAUUACUGACGCUGAGGAGCGAAAGCGUGGGGAGCGAACAGG